GUCACCCGCGCUCCCUGCGCCGCCCGCGCCACCUAUUCCACCUUCAUUCGUUCUCAAGCUUCGGGGAGGUGCGUUGCUGAAGCUCACAAGUACGGAGAGCGGUCUUCUCGUAAAGAUUCGUUGCCGUAGUACGAGGACGACUUCAUGAUGAAUUCGGCCCUUCAGAAGAGCUCGUCGAUUUUCAGAACCGCUGCAAUGCAAGUUCGACACACUUCGGUGACUCGCUACAUAGGCACUCCACCGCAGGUUCGCAUCUCGACUGCCGAGAAGUGCGCUCACAUUGCGGUCAUCGUCGGUACCAUCCUCGCCGGUCCAGCCUGGGUUCUUGUCCACCUGCAGGACUACAAGAAGUAAACAGUAUUUAGUACGUUGCACUGCGUUGGUCAAGCCCCGCAAGAUACAGACAUGGCACAGCGGCAUCCUAGUUUUGAGGAAUGGAAAUAAAUAUUCGUUUACUUGAUAGUGACA